rnacentral:lncRNA from 1 species
CCGUCUCCCAUAAUAUUUUCAAACGUUGCAGCUAAGACCCCAAUGGAUGGAAAGCAUCCAAUUCAACGUUAGUAGACAAAAAAAUUGAGUUUGACUACAUUUUUAUAAAUAUUUUUAUGAAGGGUAGAAUAUUAACUUUUUAUUUAUCAAAUUAACUAAUUACAUUAGUUAAAUUAAAAAACAAAAAAAAAAAUAGAUAGUAAAUCUAUAAACCCAUAUACAAGAUCGUCUCUUUGGUGAAGCAGUAGCACUCCUCCGUCUACGACUCCUUCGCAGCAGUGGCUCCUCAUCUACAAGCCCGUCUCUUUGGUGGAGCAGUAGCACUCCUCCGUUGACGACUCCUCUACAGGUAGCGGCUCUUCGUCCAGAAGCCUGUCUCUCCAGUGGAGCAACAACACUCCUCUGUCAACGACUCCGUCGGCGACAACUCCUCAUCUACAAGCCCAAUUUUCCCUUCAAUAUUCUCCAAUGGAUAGCAAAUCAAAGGCACUUUUUCACCAGAUUUCUCAAAAGUGCUCCCAACAAUUUUCACUUUUUCGAGAAAAUUACUUAUCUUCACUCAUUUAUUAUUGUACAUGUUGAGCUCCAACAUUUUUCGAAUGCCAUGGAUUCAACAUUGUGGACAAAGUUUUGAGCUUUUAGCUUAAUCGAGUAUUAAGUUCCCAUAAAAUUGUCUUGGUAAGGCGUCGUUGGCCCUCAAAAUUCACAAUCACAUGUGCACUGGCCAUGCCUUGUCCAUCUUUGGGCAUCAGCUUCUUGGUCAAUUUAACUCAAGGAGGAAUGUCAAAUUCAAUUUGAGAAUUCAUUUUGUAGAAAUUGAUUUGGAAAAAUCCGAUUUGAGAAAUAAAUUUUUGAAGAAGAAAGUGAUUUUGGUGUUGGGUGACUGGAGAGUAAAGGGUGAAGGGAGAGGAGGUGGUGGCGACGACAGUGAUGACGAUUUUGGUUAGUGUGGGCUGGGUAAGUUGGAAAAGAGGUGGGAGGAAGAAAAUACAUUUUUUAUUUUUCCUUUUUUCUUUUUUUUCGAUUUUUAAAUUAAUUAAUGUAAUUAUUUUAUUUGGUAAAUAGAAAGUUACUAUUUUGCUUUUCAUAAAAAUAUUGAAAAAUAUGAUCAAACUCAAUUUUUUGGUCAACUAACGGUGAAUUGGAUAUUUUCCAUCCAUCAAAAUCUUAGCUGCAACGUUUGAAAAGAUUAAGAGUGACGGUUACAACNGAGUAUUAAGUUCCCAAAAAAUUGUCUUGGUAAGGUGUCGUUGGCCCUUGAAAUUCACAAUCACAUGUGCACUGGUCGUGCCUUGUCCAUCUUUGGGCAUCAGAUUCUUGGUCAAUUUAACUCAAGGAGGAAUGUCAAAUUCAAUCUGAGAAUUCAUUUUGUAGAAAUUGAUUUGGAAAAAUCCAAUUUGAGAAAUAAAUUUUUGAAGAAGAAAGUGAUUUUGGUGUUGGGUGACUGGCGAGUAAAGGGUGAAGGAAGAGGAGGUGGUGGCGACGACAAUGGUGGCGAUUUUGGUUAGUGUGGGCUGUGUAAGUUGGAAAAGAGGUGGGAGGAAGAAGAUACAG